GUGCCAGCAGCCGCGGUAAGACGAGGGGUCCUAGCGUUGUUCGGAAUCACUGGGCGUAAAGCGUAUGUAGGCGGGCUUUUAAGUCAGGUGUGAAAUCCCAUGGCUCAACCAUGGAAUUGCAUUUGAAACUGGAAGUCUUGAGUGUGGGAGAGAUUGGUAGAAUACCUGGUGUAGUGGUGAAAUACGUAGAUAUCAGGUGGAAUACCGGUGGCGAAGGCGGCCAAUUGGCCCAACACUGACGCUGAGAUACGAAAGCGUGGGGAUCAAACAGGAUUAGAUACCCCUGUAGUCC
rnacentral:rRNA from 1 species